GCCGUCUAAAUAUAACCGAUGUAUUAUAAAAUUUGAUAUGAUUUCGUAGAAAGUGCUAGUUCAUUCUGUAGUUGGAGGUCGCUGGUGUAAGAUCAGUUGCUCUUUACAAUAAUUAGUGGAAGAAAGUUUAAGUUCAAGGGUUUGAAGAAUUUUGACGUCCACCAGGUGAGCAGCUGGCCGCCCAGGAGCGUGGGCGCCGCCUGACACGUCUUCAGUCAGAGCCAGGCAUUGAGUCAGCUCGCACGAAACGCCCAGCCGCAUAAGCGCAACGAACGACUUCAAGAUGGCCACGGGACCGAAGAUAGUUCACAAGCAGUUCAACUCUCCCAUCGGGUUAUACUCUCGACAGAACAUACAGGAGACACUCAACAAACAUAUACAGAACUUAGACAACGGCAGCGUCGGAAUCGACUUUCAAAAUCCGGCCACAGGAAAGCCGGCAAAUCUCGCUAAUUCAGCAGUUCUCAGAAUGCUUGAAGAAGAAGAACGUAACAGAAAGGGUUUACCUAAGUUAGACCCGACACAAAUAAAGGCGAUUCUAGAGAAUCUGGAACGAAUGAAGAAUCGUUUUGACAACCUCUGGCCGCCAAAUAAUGAGAAAUAUAUUCCGAGAUGGAACAAUCAACUAAACAACAACUGUUAUAUAUUACCUGAAUAUUUGAAGCAUACCAAAGGUCAGAAGAAAGUAGUCUGGCCUCCGGCGCCCGAAACGAACGGAUACCACUCACCACAACAGCAGACUCCAGCGUACAACAACGUGCAGUCCCAGCAGCAAUUCUCUCCUCAACCACAAACCAAUCAAUUCUCCCCGCAAACGCUUUCCAACCAAUACCAGGACUCUUAUGAGACGUACCAAGCCCCACCUCAACAGCCACAGAACCAAUAUCCCCAGUCCCCAGCACAGAACCAGCCCGGGUACUGUGAAGGUCGUCGCCAAGCACCCACAGGGUUGAGUAAGCUGAUACCUGUAAGUCCUGGAGCGACCUCUCCCGCAUCUCCCCAGUACCGUCAGGGCCCUCUGUCCCCAUCAGCUCAACCCUACCGCCAGCAGCAGAGCCGGUGGGCGCCUGUGCCAGCCCCUAUCUCGCCCCAGCCCACCGCACAGAGUCCGCAGUAUCCAUCGCAGCCCCAGUACUCGCCGCAGUCUCAGCAAUACUCUCAACCUGAGUAUUCAGAACCCGUGUACCAACCCCCCCAAAAGCAGUUCGAGCCGCCUCCGUCUCUCAUCACCUUGAGACCACAACCACCCAUUCAUCAGACACCCUCGCCGGUGUUUUCUAGCCAGCCCGCUGCAGCAUCGUUCAAAGGAGGCAUCAACAUGCGGGGUGACAUGAAAUGGCCACCACAGUCCGUGAAGGAGGCAGUUGCUGCCGAAAACGAGGCGAGAGUGCAGUUGGCUAAGGGGCCAGCUUGCAGACCACGCAAGCUCCGGCAAUAUUCAGUUGCCGAAAUGCUUGCAAUGAACGAGGUGUAACAGAUCCAUCUAGUUUGGUCGGUACACGGUGCACUUUAGUACAAGUAUCCUGUUAGUAAAGAAGGACUACUCGUCGUUCUUCUCUCAGCACGCCCUCAACCACUGCUACACCAGCUACCGUGUCCCUCCAGGCACACAACACUUCGACGACCACUCAGGCCGGUCCUCCUACUAACUCCACUCCUCGGUUGAAGCCCUCGACAACACCUGAGCUAGCCUUCACAAACAAUGCGGUUUACAACAAAAUUCUAUGAAACAGGAGUGAUUUAAAUUCGUAGCUUAAAAUGCCAUUUAUCAAAUAAAAUAAAUUAUAGCAUGGAAAACGAAACCAAUCACUUAUAUUUAUUAUACAGUACUUUUCCCAUUUAAGCAAUGCUUUUGUUGUAUUUUUCGGUUAAUAGUCUGUCAACAACGAUUGUUUCAAAGUUGUCUAUGGUAUUGCGUAUUGUGAAUAUUAGCGAUAAUCAUAAUGUACCUCGAGUAAGUGGUUCUAAUCAAAAUUCAUCGUGGCAAAGACGUACUUGUGGGGACUUUAAGGGUUAAAGUCCUGAAGCAUGUACCGGACAUAUUACCUUAGUUCAUAAAUCACACAUUCAUUCAUCUAGUAUUAAGUAUUACUAUGUAUAAACACAAACACACGUUAUUAAUUUAAUAUAAUCUCAUUGGCCUUUGUAUUAUACGAAUUACAUUUUAUGUGCGGCUUAAAUUGCGGAUUCUAAUAGAUUGCUUAGUAACCCUGAAAUGCAUAACUAAAUUCAGUAAAUACUUUAUUUUCCUUAAAAGGUGCGACUUGAAAAUGCUUAUCUGCGACUUGUCACGAGAAUAUAAAAACAUUGUAUAUAAAACGUUGAAUUUAUUAAUUUUAUAUUGCAUUAAUGUUAUUUUUAAAUAAAAUUUUAAAUAUUUAUAA